rnacentral:rRNA from 1 species
AUGAGCCUAGGUCGGAUUAGCUAGUUGGUGAGGUAAUGGCUCACCAAGGCGACGAUCCGUAACUGGUCUGAGAGGAUGAUCAGUCACACUGGAACUGAGACACGGUCCAGACUCCUACGGGAGGCAGCAGUGGGGAAUAUUGGACAAUGGGCGAAAGCCUGAUCCAGCCAUGCCGCGUGUGUGAAGAAGGUCUUCGGAUUGUAAAGCACUUUAAGUUGGGAGGAAGGGUUGUAGAUUAAUACUCUGCAAUUUUGACGUUACCGACAGAAUAAGCACCGGCUAACUCUGUGCCAGCAGCCGCGGUAAUACAGAGGGUGCAAGCGUUAAUCGGAAUUACUGGGCGUAAAGCGCGCGUAGGUGGUUUGUUAAGUUGGAUGUGAAAUCCCCGGGCUCAACCUGGGAACUGCAUUCAAAACUGACUGACUAGAGUAUGGUAGAGGGUGGU